rnacentral:lncRNA from 1 species
CAAAGAGCUCGAAUUCUAUAUGAAGAAGCUCCAAAGAAAGAAGGGAAAAGGAGCUGGUGCUGCUUAAAUUUUGGUUAUGGUUUCAGCCAGUAUUUUCCUGUUCACUCCUUUUCUUAUGAAGACAACGAGCUGUUGCAGCUAUUUUGGAACUUUGAUUUUGCUGGUAAUAGUUUAAUUAUAGUACCUUUGACCUUUUUUCAUGGUAACAACAGUUUGCUUAAUUAGCUUGAGUUUAAGUUCAAAAUUUUCUAGUCAAUUUAUGUAAGCGGGUUGGUUUGGUUGUUUGAUCUAGAAUUUAUAGAAGUACAAAUGGAUUAUAGAGUGAUUUAAACUCACACUGCUUCUUUUAAAACCAAAUUCGUUGAAUUUCUCACUUUAUAAUUUUUGUUAUGUCUCUGAAAGUUCGAAGUUUCCAAUUCUUCUUUAUCUACACUCAAAUUCACUUCUUUGAUUUGUUGGAAAUUUGAUUGAAUUAUGGUAGUUUUAGUGUGUUUCUUUAAAUUCAGAAAAAUAUUUAUAGGUUUCAAAUAUACAGACGUUAGACUACAAAUAGUCAUUGCUAAAAUUUUAGGGAAUUGCUUUAUGCUUCUUAGUUUUAAUGUAAUUUAAUUAAUUAUUUUUAUCAGGUAGUUGCUUAAUAAAUCGUGUUCAUUUUUGCUGUAAAAAAAUCCUCUUUUUCUUUAUGAAAAAUAUAACCUCUAAUUCACACCAUCAUGGAAAUGAGCUUUUCUUUUUCUUGUGAAUAAAUAUGAAUGUGAGAUUGAAAAGCUUCGGAUGUAUUAAAAAAGUUUUCAAUGUAGUAUUUGUAUUUGUAAAAUGCAAGAUUUAAUUGAUUAUUUUGGCAAGCAUGUAUAUAUUUUUCUUUUAUCAUCUGUUAAAUUUUUCUUAAAAGAAUUGCAUUGCACGUGUUUAAUAAUUUUAAAUAAUGAGUGAAAUUGUAAUUUCCAUAAUUGUUUGCUAUUGUGUUCGCAAAAUUAAUAAUAACUCUAAUAAAUUAUUUUCAAUUUAUUAAAAAUAGAGUGAAAGUUUGACAAACGUUUUUAAUUAAUUUUGUUGUGUUUAAUACUUAAAACUAUUUAUGAAAAAAGAGUUAAAAAAAUAGAUCAAAGUUUACCAUCUUAAAAUAUUAUCCAAGUUAUACAAUCCACAAAAAGGAGAGAACAAUAACGUUGAAGAACCUUUCGAUUUAUGAAGGUUGCGAAAACUUGUGGGGUUUUAAACAUUUUAAAUUCUAUUAUUAGUUUUAACUAAAUACAAAAUCAUAAAUGUUAAUCUUAACUUAUUUGUCACAAAAUAAAAGAGUAACUUGUAGUUAUUGCCUUUGUUGUAUUUUUAAAUUUUUUUAUUUAAAUUUAGAACAUUACAAAAAUAAACAAUUUAUUAUUUAGAGAAAUCAGAUUGUAUAGUUAAAUAAAAUUGAUAUAUUUUAAUUAAUACAAAACACAAAGAAGUAUGAUAUUUUUCCUAAUUAGUGAAAAAUGUAAAGGAUAAAAUUGUCGAUUUUUUUUUUCAAAUAAACUAGCUCUCUAAUAAUUUGAAUGGAAUAUUACUUAAUGUAACUAUUAUUUUAAUAAUGUUUCAAAUUUUAGUUUCUUCAAUACUUCAAUGACUUUAUUGUAUAAAAUAUCCAUGAAGUUCGAAUUUUAUAGUUUUUAAUUUAAUUUAUUUUUGUAAAAAGAUUAUUUCAAUUUAAUUCUCUAGUUUUAAAUACUUUUCAAUAAGGUUAAAGUAGUCAAUAUUAAAUUUACGUGACAUAAUAUUUAAUAUAUGAAUGAUAGAAUAUUACUUUUUUUUUUUAUCAAUAUUGGAAAAACAAUAAUAGAGAAAAAAUUAAAAAUUCUACAAAUAUUUUAAAUUUUUUUAUAAAAUAAGGACGUAAAUAUCAAGUAGUAUAUAUCUUUUUUCGUGAGAAUUGUAUUUUUUAAUCAUCCAUGCAUAGUCCUUUUAUAUUUAAAGAGCUUUAUUAUAACAUAAAGAGCUUUAUUCUAAAAUGUUAUGUAUGACUACUAAAAGAAAAAAAAAAAGUUGUGUAAAAAUGGCUAAUGUGAGAACAAAACACUGAAAUCCAAAUAGAAAAAAGAAUAAAGCGUUUAGAUGUUGGUAAAGAUUGAUAAUAAAGAAUAAUUAUUUUACAGUGGUAGAUAUGUUAGAGUUAUAAUACCUUUUCGAUUAUAUAACUUCUAAAAUCUGACUUUUAAUUAAAUUAAUGAAAUGAAAUCUUUAAAAUAAUAGGAUGGUGAGGUGUAUGGUGUAAUACAUUUUAAAUGUAACCGUGCUUGAAUUUUUAUGAGUAUUUUAGUCUAAGAAUGAGUAUUGUAGUUUAAAAUUGUUUUUGCAAAACCAUGAAAUUAAAUGGAUAUAUGAGAUUUUAUUUUAAUAUAAAAACCACUCGAAAAACCUCCUUUAAUUGAAAAAUUGUAAAAAAAUAUUUAAUGAUUUUUAGUGAUUUUUUUUCUAUUAAGUGUAAAUAUCUUAUUAUUAUUUUUAUUUUUAAAACCCCUCUAUUUAAUUAGAAACUUUUUAUUAAUUCAUAUUUUAGGGUGGUUUAAGAAAUUACGGUGAAUUAAUAACAAAAUCUUUUAUAAGUUAUUAACAUUAUUUGAAAUGUUUUUUUUUUAAAAAAAUAUAUUUGAACGCUUUUUUAAUCAUUUGCUUAAAAUUGUUUAGUUAUUUAAAGUGGUUGAAUUAAUGGCAUAAACUUGACAUUCUAAAAAGAUGAAGGUGUGUUUAUAAAUGUUUUUUUUCCCUUCAGAUUCCUACUUUUUAUAUAUUAUAGAUUUGUAUUUAUACUCUUUUUUUAGUCAGGUUAAAUUAUUAUAUUGAGGCUAAAUAGUUAGUUUCCUAAACAUUAUCAAACUGUGAUUAUAACUAAAUCAAUUAGUGACUCAAAAACACUCCCGAUGUUAGUUUUUAGGUGUACAUAGGUGUUUGCUUCUAGGUGUAAGUAGGUAUGUGGGGUUUAUGAGUUUUAUGUAACUUUUAGAGGUUCUUUUUUUCUUUUUUUAAUGAAUGAUACAAUAUUUUGAUUCCAAUCAAAAAUGGUUUCGAGUUUCAAAUUUAACGAGAAAUGAUAGGUGCAUGUGAUUUUAUUCAAAUAUCCUCAUUUUAGUACGCUUCAAACACUCUUCUUGCGUCCAUGUCUUGAUCCAAAUCCCACUCUCCACUAAAGUUCCAUGCUCAAUCCCGCUUGACGAUCCACAUUUCUAAUUGCGUUUCUUGCUCAACGAUUCCACUUUUCGACACGUAGGCUCGUUAAAUCAGUUGACUUUUUGUAUUUUCUGUUUUAUGUUUUCCAAGUAGAGUUCUCAACAAGAAGUGUUUUCAUUAAUAUCACAAUAAGUGUUUAUCAAUUUCUAUUAUUGAUAAAAUAUAACACUUUGUUACCUUUUAUAAAUAUUUUGGUUUUUUUUGUUAUAUUUGAAAAUGUCCCUUUAAUAAAUUUAUUUUAAGAUUUUAAGAUUUGAAGUUUGUUUUAAGUAAACAUAGGAAACAAUUCGCUCCAAUUUUUUUUGUUCUUUCCUUUGUGAUUUUUUCUUUAAUCCUAACAAACAAAUUUACCUCGGGAUGAAUUCAAAUUUCACUUAUGAGUAACUAAUGAAGGUAAAAAUAAAAGUGUUAAAAGCUUGGAAGGAUUGUUCUACAAAAGAAAAAACUUCAAAAUAAAAUUGAAAAACUAAACCCAUUCUUCAAUACUUAGUUUUACAAUUUAAUUUUUUUUAAAACAAUAAUAUGGAAGAUUUGUGAAGUUUAAGACCAAUAACAACACCACCAAUAAUAAACCAUCAAAGCUAAGUUGAAUAAUGUAAGGCAUUGAAUUGAAACUUUCACAUAAAUAUGUAAAAAACUAAUUAAUUAAACUCAAAUAAUGAGUGGAAAUAGGUAAUUGUAACUUGUGAGUAAUGAUUCUAUUUGGAGGUAUUUGCCUCGAAGUCAACCAUUGUGAGAGUACUCAUUGAGAGUUUAAUCUUUUUGCAAAAGAGAAAAGAUAAUCUAAAGAAUUAUGAAAAAAGAAAAGCAUUUUAUAUUCCUCAUUUGAUAGAGCCAUGAAUUAAAUACAAGUUUUAGUUGCAAUAAUUAGAAUCUGGAUGACUCACUCUUUCUCUUAAAAUAUUCUCUUUCUUUAUGUGUUAGCUUAGCCUAUAUAUAUCAUUCAUAUAUAUCCAAAAAUGGUGAACUCAAUUUAUAUGUUUUAGGAUUUGUUGGUUGCCUAAAAAAUUUUCUUUUUUCAUCUAAAUAUGUCAACUUUUAGACUUUUAUUUUUACUUUUUAAAAAA